rnacentral:lncRNA from 1 species
CUUAAUUUAAAGGGCCUCACAUUAAAACCCAAAAAAAAAAAGUACACGAGGUAACUCCUACAAAAUGUUAUUUUUGCUAGUACAUUCCUGUAAUAUAACAUACACUCGAAAAUAUACAAACACGAUUUAGCUGUAAUUGCGAUCAAAAGUUUCGAACCCUAACUGUGAAAGCCCUAAUAACAAGAGAGAUAGAGAUCAUGGAAAGUAACCGUCUUAGAAAUUACGGGCUGCGCUGGAACGACGACCGCGGGGAUGAAGAUGGAGUAGAAGAUAGACAUAGACCUGUCUUCAGUUGGAAAGUAGAAGAUAGACAUAGACCUGUCUUCGGUUGGACGAAUCCUCAUAAUAAGGGGAAUGGGAAAGACGGAAUCGAAUCCUCUUCGUUCUCCGGAGGNNN